AGUUAUAAAUUAAUAAUUGCAUAUUAUCCAGAAUAUAUUAUUUGCACGACAUUUAUUUAACUUUUUAUUUUAGAUACGUUAGUAAAACCGAGAGAUAUUAUAAUAAACAAUCAAGAUGACCAGAAAACAAAAAGAGAAAUUAAAUUGUUCAAGGCAAACAAAAAGAACGACCAGAAAACAAAAGAAGAAAUUAAAUCGUUCAUGG